UGAAGUCGGAUGCUUAACCCACUGAGCCACCCAGGCGCCCCGAAAUGUGCACACUGGAUUUGAAGACUCACUACAAAAAAAGAAGGUAAGAAACACUAAGUCAACUGGAGAAGCAUCUGUGGCCUUGAGCUAUGGGACAUUACUUCCCUUUAACACCGCUACUGAGAAAUGUUGAACCUCACUUUGGUGUAGUCAGUGUCGGUCUUCGACAGUGAAUGGAUACACCGCCAGAAAGAGACACAGAGCAUGAGCGAGUGGGGGAGAUGCAGAG